AUGGAGGAGGGAGGCUUCCAGUUCCAGCCCGGCAUCUCUGUGACUGUGAGGUUCAUGGCGUCGCCGGAGAGCCCAGACAUCGACUGGGACGGCCUGGACCAGCUGCUUCUCCGCGGGGACAUCUCGUGCCCUGAAUUGGCGAUCGAUGCGUCAAGCUCCCCCAACUUCUUUGCUUCUCCUUCCACAGUUCCCUCAGACGCCACAAACACCUUGUUGAGUCAACCAAACACUUGCUCGAGUCAACCCGGUGCCGGUGUGGCCGCACACACCAUGCCGUCCAAAGGUGCGAUGGUUGGUUUGGAUUCAGAUCUUCUGGAGCAGCUGCUUCCUCCCGGCCACAACCCCUGGCCUGAAUUGGCGGCUAACUAUUCAAUCUCAUCCAGUUCCUUUGCUUCUCCCUCCACCUUCCUCUUAGAUGCCACAACCAAAUGGGGGACGCCUGCAGGUACAAACACUUGCUUGAUCCAGCCCAGCUGUAUCCCCGUGCCGCGCGCCACCUUGUCCCAAGGUGCGGCCGUCGACUUGGAGCAGCCGCUCUCUCUAUCCGGCGACAACCCCUGGCUUGAAGUGGCCCCCAACACUUCAAGAUCUCCCAACUUCUUCGCUACUCCCUCCAUCUUCCCCUCGAAUGCCAAAUCCACCACGGCCUCCGUCCGGGAACGGCUUACGCAAGCACUAUUCUACAUUGCGGAGUUGCAAAGAGACAAACAUGUGCUUGUCCAGGUAUGGGUGCCGGUCAAGAGUUCUGACGGUCAGUUGGUGCUGACGACGAGCGGGCAGCCAUUCACCCUCGACAGGAGCUCGGAGAGGCUCGUCCACUUCAGGAACGUAUCGACGCGUUUCCAGUUCUCUGCAGAUGUUGCGUCGGAGGGCUCACCUGUGGGGCUCCCAGGGAGGGUCUUCAUCGGCAAGCUCCCCGAGUGGUCUCCAGACAUUCGGUACUUCACCAGCUAUGAGUAUCCUAUGGUGAAUCAUGCGCAAUAUUUGGACGUCCAUGGGACGAUGGGGCUGCCGGUGUUCGAGAAGGGGAACUCCUCGUGCUUGGGUGUCAUUGAGUUGAUCAUGACCAGGCAGAAGCUCAAUUUCACCUCCGAGAUCAAUUACAUCUGCAGUGCUCUCCAGGCAGUUAACCUGAGGUCCACUGAAGUUUCAAGCAUUCCACACACAACAAAGUUCAAUAGUGCCUCAUACAAAGACGCUCUACCGGAGAUAUUGGAAGUCUUAAGGGCCGCCUGCGUCACCCACAAUCUACCAUUAGCACAAACAUGGGCCACCUGUGCUCAACAAUGGAAACGGGCCAGUCGCCACUCAGAUGAGAACUACCAGCACUGCAUCUCUACCAUUGACGCAGCUUGCUACGUGAACGACCCUCAGAUGCAGAAUUUCCAUGAUUCCUGCUCCGAUCACCACCUUCUGCGCAAGCAAGGGGUUGCAGGGAAAGCCUUCACCACAAACCAGCCGUGCUUCCUACCAGACAUUGGAUCUUCAGCUAAACUGGAUUACCCAUUAUCUCACCAUGCUAAGAUCUUCAAUUUAAAAGGUGCAGUGGCGAUCCGGUUAAGAUGCACACGCACUGGGACGGCGGACUUCGUGCUGGAGUUCUUCCUGCCGACGGACUGUGGAGCACUCGAGGAGCAGAAGGCAGUGUUGGACUCCUUGUCGGGAACCAUGCAAAAUGUUUGCCGAACACUACGCACGGUUACAGACAAGGAGGUGGAGGACGACACGGUGAAGCCCAACUCGUUUGAUCUUCAGAAGAACAAGAAGGCGAAUAAAAGAAAACCGAUGGCACCAAGAUCAACCGUGUGGAAAAGCUUUACAAAGGUCAUGGUUGGAGAUACUGUCAAGGCUAAGUGCGACUACUGUGGUGAAAACUAUUGCUGUGAAUCAAAAAACGGUACAUCCUCAUUGAUAUCUCACUUGAAAAGGUGCAAAAUUAAUCCCAAUAAGCAAAGUACUAGUACUUUGCAUAUGCAAACAGAGGGGUAG
rnacentral:rRNA from 1 species